GGGACACGUGGUAUCCUGUCUGAAUAUGGGGGGACCAUCCUCCAAGGCUAAAUACUCCUGACUGACCGAUAGUGAACCAGUACCGUGAGGGAAAGGCGAAAAGAACCCCGGCGAGGGGAGUGAAAAAGAACCUGAAACCGUGUACGUACAAGCAGUGGGAGCACGCUUAGGCGUGUGACUGCGUACCUUUUGUAUAAUGGGUCAGCGACUUAUAUUCUGUAGCAAGGUUAACCGAAUAGGGGAGCCGAAGGGAAACCGAGUCUUAACUGGGCGUUAAGUUGCAGGGUAUAGACCCGAAACCCGGUGAUCUAGCCAUGGGCAGGUUGAAGGUUGGGUAACACUAACUGGAGGACCGAACCGACUAAUGUUGAAAAAUUAGCGGAUGACUUGUGGCUGGGGGUGAAAGGCCAAUCAAACCGGGAGAUAGCUGGUUCUCCCCGAAAGCUAUUUAGGUAGCGCCUCGUGAAUUCAUCUCCGGGGGUAGAGCACUGUUUCGGCAAGGGGGUCAUCCCGACUUACCAACCCGAUGCAAACUGCGAAUACCGGAGAAUGUUAUCACGGGAGACACACGGCGGGUGCUAACGUCCGUCGUGAAGAGGGAAACAACCCAGACCGCCAGCUAAGGUCCCAAAGUCAUGGUUAAGUGGGAAACGAUGUGGGAAGGCCCAGACAGCCAGGAUGUUGGCUUAGAAGCAGCCAUCAUUUAAAGAAAGCGUAAUAGCUCACUGGUCGAGUCGGCCUGCGCGGAAGAUGUAACGGGGCUAAACCAUGCACCGAAGCUGCGGCAGCGACGCUGAUGCGUUGUUGGGUAGGGGAGCGUUCUGUAAGCCUGCGAAGGUGUGCUGUGAGGCAUGCUGGAGGUAUCAGAAGUGCGAAUGCUGACAUAAGUAACGAUAAAGCGGGUGAAAAGCCCGCUCGCCGGAAGACCAAGGGUUCCUGUCCAACGUUAAUCGGGGCAGGGUGAGUCGACCCCUAAGGCGAGGCCGAAAGGCGUAGUCGAUGGGAAACAGGUUAAUAUUCCUGUACUUGGUGUUACUGCGAAGGGGGGACGGAGAAGGCUAUGUUGGCCGGGCGACGGUUGUCCCGGUUUAAGCGUGUAGGCUGGUUUUCCAGGCAAAUCCGGAAAAUCAAGGCUGAGGCGUGAUGACGAGGCACUACGGUGCUGAAGCAACAAAUGCCCUGCUUCCAGGAAAAGCCUCUAAGCAUCAGGUAACAUCAAAUCGUACCCCAAACCGACACAGGUGGUCAGGUAGAGAAUACCAAGGCGCUUGAGAGAACUCGGGUGAAGGAACUAGGCAAAAUGGUGCCGUAACUUCGGGAGAAGGCACGCUGAUAUGUAGGUGAAGUCCCUCGCGGAUGGAGCUGAAAUCAGUCGAAGAUACCAGCUGGCUGCAACUGUUUAUUAAAAACACAGCACUGUGCAAACACGAAAGUGGACGUAUACGGUGUGACGCCUGCCCGGUGCCGGAAGGUUAAUUGAUGG
rnacentral:rRNA from 1 species